rnacentral:rRNA from 1 species
UACGUAGGGUGCGAGCGUUGUCCGGAAUUACUGGGCGUAAAGAGCUCGUAGGUGGUUUGUCGCGUUGUUCGUGAAAACUCACAACUCAAUUGUGGGCGUGCGGGCGAUACGGGCAGACUGGAGUACUGCAGGGGAGACUGGAAUUCCUGGUGUAGCGGUGGAAUGCGCAGAUAUCAGGAGGAACACCGGUGGCGAAGGCGGCUCUUUGGUCUGUAACUGACGCUGAGGCGCGAAAGCGUGGGGAGCGAACAGG